AACGAACGCCGGCGGCAGGCUUAACACAUGCAAGUCGAACGCAUCCUUCGGGGUGAGUGGCAGACGGGUGAGUAACGCGUGGGAACGUGCCCUUCAGUUCGGGAUAACCCAGGGAAACUUGGGCUAAUACCGGAUACGUGCGAGAGCAGAAAGACUUAUCGCUGAAGGAUCGGCCCGCGUCUGAUUAGCUAGUUGGUGAGGUAAUGGCUCACCAAGGCGACGAUCAGUAGCUGGUCUGAGAGGAUGAUCAGCCACACUGGGACUGAGACACGGCCCAGACUCCUACGGGAGGCAGCAGUGGGGAAUAUUGGACAAUGGGCGCAAGCCUGAUCCAGCCAUGCCGCGUGAGUGAUGAAGGCCUUAGGGUUGUAAAGCUCUUUCGGCGGGGACGAUAAUGACGGUACCCGCAGAAGAAGCCCCGGCUAACUUCGUGCCAGCAGCCGCGGUAA
rnacentral:rRNA from 1 species